ACGAUGAAGAGUUUGAUCCUGGCUCAGGAUGAACGCUAGCGGCAGGCCUAACACAUGCAAGUCGAACGGUAACAGGGAAAAGCUUGCUUUUCUGCUGACGAGUGGCGCACGGGUGCGUAACGCGUAUGCAAUCUGCCUUGUACUGGAGUAUAGCCCAGGGAAACUUGGAUUAAUCCUCCAUAGUCUAU
rfam:Leeuwenhoekiella marinoflava DSM 3653 genome assembly, contig: EJ63DRAFT_scaffold00012.12